rfam:Gossypium arboreum cultivar AKA8401 contig_15491_3, whole genome shotgun sequence.
UGUUAAAAUUCCAUCCAUUUCUACUCUUAAAACCUAAAGUGGCUGACAGAAUAAUCAAACAGUUACAUAUGGCAUGUCAUGUGUACCUCAUUUUGACGUACAAUGACCAGUUUUUAACAAUAAAAAUGAAUGAAAUUUUUAACA